GCCGGUGUGGCGGAAUGGCAGACGCAUGGGACUUAAAAUCCCAAGUCAGCAAUGGCGUGUGGGUUCGAGUCCCACCACCGGCACCA
rnacentral:tRNA from 1 species